AGUUUUUAUAAUAUUAAAUUUUUUAUAUUAUUUUAGAUAAAAAAUAAAAAUUGACUAAAAUUUUACGAUUUGUCAAAUGUAAUCCAAACUAAAAUAAUACCUAAUUCUACUAUUUAACGAAACUUCACUAAUUUUUUCGUCCAACUUAAUGAAAAUUCAAACAACCCAAUAUGAUAAUAUCCGCUGACGUUACAUGUCAAAUGCCACAUCAACAACAUUAUUAAUUAAAUAUUUAAAACUAAAAAAAAAGAGCUUAUCCUACCCUCCCCACCUUCGCCCUCAACUUCUCUGUAUCUUCCGUUUCCAUCCACUACCACCCACCUCCAUCUCCACCUCCCAUUACCAUCAUCCAUCUUCAUCUCCACCUCCCAUCACCACUACCCACCUUCAUCUUCACCUCUCAUCUCCAUCUCCACCUUCAUCUUCACUGGAAAUCGAUUAUGGAAAUCAAUCGAUAGUGGAUCUCUACGUUCGGCCAACGGCCUCAGAUCCAUGGGAUCCAACUACUCUACUCUUGACCUGCAGCGCGCCAUGUACGACGUCGACACCGACAAGGACGGGUGCAUAAACUUGGAGGAGUUCCCGAGCUCUGCUGUUCAUCUUCCGGAGCGUCCGCGACGGCGGAGCUUCACGAGGCGUCUUCAUCUCCUAGAAUCGAUUCAUCUUUCUCCCAGAAUAGAUCUCCCAUCUUCCAUCUUUGAUCCAUCUUCAUCUCCCACAAUCGAUCCAUCUCCAUCUCACAGAAUUGAUCCAUCUUCAUCUCACAGAAUCGAUACAUCUUUGGUCCCGCCGUUGCCGUAUACUUCCCACCGGACU
rnacentral:lncRNA from 1 species